rnacentral:tRNA from 1 species
GGUCAUGGCUCAGUGGUGGAGUGCUUUCCUAGUAUGUGUGAGGUCCUGGGUUCGAUUCUCAGCACCA